rnacentral:rRNA from 1 species
CACGUAGGGUGCGAGCGUUGUCCGGAAUUAUUGGGCGUAAAGAGCUCGUAGGCGGUGUGUCGCGUCGGCCGUGAAAACCUGCAGCUUAACUGUGGGCUUGCGGUCGAUACGGGCAUCACUGGAGUUCGGCAGGGGAGACUGGAAUUCUUGGUGUAGCGGUGAAAUGCGUAGAUAUCAAGAGGAACACCUGAGGUGAAGACGGGUUGCUGGGCUGACACUGACGCUGAGGCGCGAAAGCCAGGGGAGCAAACGGG